GCGGCGAACGGGUGAGUAACACGUGAGUAAUCUGCCUCUGGCUUCGGGAUAGCCACCGGAAACGGUGAUUAAUACCGGAUACGACACGCUCUUGCAUGAGAUGUGUGUGGAAAGUUUUUUCGGCCAGGGAUGUGCUCGCGGCCUAUCAGCUUGUUGGUGGGGUAAUGGCCUACCAAGGCUUCGACGGGUAGCCGGCCUGAGAGGGUGACCGGCCACACUGGGACUGAGACACGGCCCAGACUCCUACGGGAGGCAGCAGUGGGGAAUAUUGGACAAUGGGCGGAAGCCUGAUCCAGCAACGCCGCGUGAGGGAUGACGGCCUUCGGGUUGUAAACCUCUUUCAGCACAGACGAAGCGCAAGUGACGGUAUGUGCAGAAGAAGGACCGGCCAACUACGUGCCAGCAGCCGCGGUAAUACGUAGGGUCCGAGCGUUGUCCGGAAUUAUUGGGCGUAAAGGGCUCGUAGGCGGUUUGUCGCGUCGGGAGUGAAAACACCGGGCUUAACUCGGUGCUUGCUUUCGAUACGGGCAGACUAGAGGCAUUCAGGGGAGAACGGAAUUCCUGGUGUAGCGGUGAAAUGCGCAGAUAUCAGGAGGAACACCGGUGGCGAAGGCGGUUCUCUGGGAAUGUCCUGACGCUGAGGAGCGAAAGU
rnacentral:rRNA from 1 species